CAGUAGCCGCGGUAAUACGAAGGGGGCUAGCGUUGUUCGGAAUUACUGGGCGUAAAGGGCGCGUAGGCGGCCAUUCAAGUUAGAUGUGAAAGCCCUGGGCUCAACCUAGGAAUUGCAUUUGAUACUGUUUGGCUUGAGUUCGGGAGAGGUGAGUGGAAUUCCCAGUGUAGAGGUGAAAUUCGUAGAUAUUGGGAAGAACACCAGUGGCGAAGGCGGCUCACUGGACCGACACUGACGCUGAGGCGCGAAAGCGUGGGGAGCAAACAGGAUUAGAUACCCCUGUAGUCCCUGUCUCUUAUAA
rnacentral:rRNA from 1 species